rfam:Morus notabilis contig25358, whole genome shotgun sequence.
GGACAUUAGGUCUAGUGGUAUGAGUCUUGCUUUGGGUGUGAGAGAUCCCGAGUUCGAUUCUCGGAAUGCCCC